CAGUAGCCACGGUAAUACGGAGGGGGCUAGCGUUGUUCGGAAUUACUGGGCGUAAAGCGCACGUAGGCGGCUUGGUAAGUUAGAGGUGAAAGCCCGGAGCUCAACUCCGGAAUUGCCUUUAAGACUGCCGAGCUAGUAGGUGAGAGAGGUAAGUGGAAUUCCGAGUGUAGAGGUGAAAUUCGUAGAUAUUCGGAAGAACACCAGUGGCGAAGGCGGCUCACUGGACGCGUAUUGACGCUGAGGUACGAAAGCGUGGGGAGCAAACAGGAUUAGAUACCCCAGUAGUCCCUGUCUCUUAUAC
rnacentral:rRNA from 1 species